rnacentral:rRNA from 1 species
UAGAUACCCUAUUAUUUAUAACUUAAAUAUAAAUGCCGGAUAAUACGAACAAUGUUUAAAAUUCAAAGAGCUUGGCGGUGUCUUAUAUAUACAGGGGAACCUGUCGCUUAAUUCGAUAAUCCACGCUUACUUCACCUAAAAUUGAAAUAUCAGCCUGUGUACUGCCGUCGCAAGUGCACCUCUAAGAGAAUAAAGUGCGCAACACCGUAUAUCACAAAUAUACAACUACGUCAGGUCAAAGUGCAGCUAAUAUUUAGGGGCAGAUGGGUUACAAUCUAAAUUCAGAUACGUAAUUUAAAUCAAUAGAUUAAAUAUAAGGUGGACUUGUAAGUAAUUUCUGUAUAAAAUACAAAAAUGAAAUAGAAUCUAAGACAUGCACACAUCGCCCGUCACUCUCGCCUAACGGUGAGAUAAGUC